rnacentral:rRNA from 1 species
AACGAACGCUGGCGGCAGGCCUAACACAUGCAAGUCGAACGAACCCUUCGGGGUGAGUGGCGCACGGGUGAGUAACACGUGGGAAUUUACCUUUCAGUACGGAACAACUUUUGGAAACGAAAGCUAAUACCGUAUAGUCCCUCCGGGGUAAAGAUUUAUCGCUGAAAGAUAAGCCCGCGCCGAAUUAGUUAGUUGGUGAGGUAAUGGCUCACCAAGACGACGAUUCGUAGCUGGUUUGAGAGAAUGAUCAGCCACACUGGAACUGGGACACGGUCCAG